AUUGAACGCUGGCGGCAUGCUUUACACAUGCAAGUCGAACGGCAGCACGGGUGCUUGCACCUGGUGGCGAGUGGCGAACGGGUGAGUAAUAUAUCGGAACAUGUCCGGAAGUGGGGGAUAACGUAGCGAAAGUUACGCUAAUACCGCAUAUGCCCUGAGGGGGAAAGGAGGGGAUCGUAAGACCUUUCGCUUUCGGAGUGGCCGAUAUCAGAUUAGCUAGUUGGUGAGGUAAAGGCUCACCAAGGCGACGAUCUGUAGCGGGUCUGAGAGGAUGAUCCGCCACACUGGGACUGAGACACGGCCCAGACUCCUACGGGAGGCAGCAGUGGGGAAUUUUGGACAAUGGGCGCAAGCCUGAUCCAGCCAUGCCGCGUGAGUGAAGAAGGCCUUCGGGUUGUAAAGCUCUUUCAGCCGGAAAGAAAUCAUGCUUACUAAUACUAAGUGUGGAUGACGGUACCGGAAGAAGAAGCACCGGCUAACUACGUGCCAGCCGCCGCCGUAA
rnacentral:rRNA from 1 species